CAGUGGUGAGAGGAUAUUAAUUUCACAUAAAUAGAAAUUUAUUUUAUCACAAGAAAGGUAAAUUAUCUGACCACUG